UACGUAGGGGUCGAGCGUUGUCCGGAGUUACUGGGCGUAAAGCGCGUGCAGGUGGCUCAUUACGUCCGGCGUGAAAGCCCCCGGCUCAACCGGGGAGGGUCGUCGGGGACGGGUGAGCUUGAGGGUAGCAGGGGCUGGUAGAAUUCCCGGUGUAGUGGUGAAAUGCGUAGAGAUCGGGAGGAAUACCCGUGGCGAAGGCGGCCAGCUGGGCUACACCUGACACUGAGACGCGAAGGCGUGGGGAGCGAACGGG
rnacentral:rRNA from 1 species